GAUGAAGAACGCAGCGAAAUGCGAUAAGUAAUGUGAAUUGCAGAAUUCAGUGAAUCAUCGAAUCUUUGAACGCACAUUGCGCCCGCCAGUAUUCUGACGGGCAUGCCUGUCUGAGCGUCAUUUCAAUCCUCAUGCCCCUAGGGCGUGGUGUUGGGGAUCGGCCAAAGCCCGCGAGGGACGGCCGGCCCCUAAAUCUAGUGGCGGACCCGUCGUGGCCUCCUCUGCGAAGUAGUGAUAUUCCGCAUCGGAGAGCGAUGAGCCCCUGCCGUUAAACCCCCAACUUUCCAAGGUUGACCUCAGAUCAGGUAGGAAUACCCGCUGAACUUAAGCAUAUCAAUAAGCGGGA
rnacentral:misc_RNA from 1 species